GAACCCUUGGCACAGUGGUAGCGCGUGAGAUUCCAGUUCGCGGAGUAAUCCGCAGAAGGGAAAUCCUCAAGGUCGUCCGUUCAAUCCGGGCAGGGUUCA